AGAAAACACCAUGGAAAUGCAUAAGAACUAGCUAACUAAGGCGCAUAAAUAUGCUCCUAUCAACAAGGGGAAGACUUAAACAACUCCUUAGGGCCGAAUUCAUUGUUUUGGACCCUUACUUCAACAAACAAUACUUUGGAACUCUUUUUCUCAACUUUUCAACUCUUUUUUUCAAACUUUUCAUAUUUUUUACUUCAAUUUUUCUUUUUCCACGAAAUUUUUUUUUCUUUUCUUUUCUUUUCUUUGCCGUGCCUAUGGCACACAAUUCCUCAUGAAAAAUACUUCCCCCACACUUGUUUUCUGCCAACAUAGAUCAAAAGGAAUUCAAUUCGAAUCAUGCUUUACUAUGCUUUAAGAACAAGGGUAUGGAUGGUCCUAAACUAGGCUAGGUGAGGAAAACAUGGGUUAACAAAUAAUGAAGGCUAACAAGGCUCAAUGGGGUUAAAAACCUACAAAACAUAAUGGAAUAGGGAUAUACGGCUUUUUUGGCCAUGGUGGACACUACACAACUUCAUCUUGAAUAUGUGUUAUGCAAAUCAAUAACAUGCUUUGAAUGAAAUGGGCAUGAGUUCUAGCAUUUGGAACUAAAUGAUGAAACGCCUUCUAAGUAGUAACCAAGCAAAGAAUAAUGAGAUCAUGCAACGACUUAGAAAACAAAGAAUGCACAGAUUUUAACUCUCCAAAUAAACGUUUAGGCUCAAGUCUCACAAGGUUGUAGCGUUAGUUUGAGUUCCUUCCUUCAAGCAUGUUACAAAAACUGAAUUUUUUUCUUUAUGAUUGCAUGUGAAUUCAUAAGUUAUAACCACAACCAAGCAUAAACAAAGAGUAAAUCAAACUUUCAUCCAUGUUUACAACUCUCUUUAACUGUCAUGCAAUUACAAACCGAAUCCUCAUCAUUGUGUUGGAAGGUACCCUAAGACACAAACAAACACACAAAAACAACUCUUUUUGGGUUUUUUAAAACAAAUUUUUCAAAUUUUUAUGUGAUUUUCGGAUUUUUACUUCAAAACACACUUAAAACACACCAAAACAGCUUAAAAAGGCUUAAAAACAGCAAGAAACAACAUUUGAAAUUAUGGGUGACAAACAAACAAACAUUGUCCUCAAUGUUUCAAGCAUAGACUCACACAAAUAACAAACAAACAAACAAAACAACAACUAAAACAACUAAAUAGGCAGAUUCGAAUUUAAACAACAAAGAGAAGAGUUUAGGAACGCAAAUCUGGAAUUGGAGUGAUUCCUUGGUCUUCCUUUGUUGAAUUGCAUGGGUUGCCUCCCAAGUAGCGCUUUCUUUAACGUCGUACAGCCGGACGAAAAGCCCAUUCAUUCUCCAUUUGUGCCCACGGCACCCAAAGAAAUAUCAUCCACGGUUUGUUCAACAAAGUUCUCAUAAUAUGGCUUCAAACGGUGUCCGUUCACUUGGAAUUCAUGACCUGUUUUGAGACUUUGAAUCUGGAUGGCACCAUAAGAAGAUACGUUAGUAAUAACAAACGGUCCAAUCCACUUAGAACGUAACUUACCGGGAAACA
rnacentral:lncRNA from 1 species